GUUCUUAUAGUUGAGUUGACAACGAUGGUUUUUCAGGCCAUAGGUCCUAGAUAAAGGCUAGGUGAGAAUAG
rnacentral:tRNA from 1 species